UAAAGUUACUUACUUUCCCCAUUAGUUAACUGGCAACUCAGCACCAAGUAGACAACAGUGACCAAAACCACCGGCGCAGAAAUCUUGACCUGCAUCCUGAAUUCUGGCUUUGGCCAGCUCGCGAGCCAGUCUGAUGACACUUUCAUCCAAAGCGAUGUACAACAAGUGCAUACCAAAGCAUCCAUCCUCACUUCACCCAGCCAUCAAUGUUAGUCAGCCCACAGAGCAUCCGGCUACGUGCACAGCAGGCCUGAGCCACGAUACGGAUGACCUACGACCUCCAGGCCUGAGCCACGAUACGGAUGACCUACGACCUCCAGGACUGAGCCACGAUACGGAUGACCUAUGACCUCCAGGACUGAGCCACGAUACGGAUGACCUAUGACCUCUACCCCCUGCCCUGGGGUUCACUGAAAUGCAGAGCAGUAGUACUGCAGGUGAAGCCAAUGUAAAAACAAUGGGAAUUGGUCUAGGUCCGGCUGUUUUCUGAUUGGAUCAGGGUGGCCACAUGCCAGUCACUGUGGGCCAACAUGUAACCAGGGAAGUGGUAGACACUGUCAUGGAGUUCUAAUUAGUCGAUGGUAAGUGGUUUUUGGGGUGGGGUUCAAGGCAGCUGGACCCUGUGACGCUGUGUGAUCGCUGCGUAAACAGAUGCGCUUCAGCGUUGCAUAAAUAGACACGUUCAAGGCACUGCUCCCAGCAGUAAGCCACAUCCCCAAAUUCCUGUGCCAACUGGUUGUGAUGCGCACCCAGGGUGGCAUUUUCACCACAGUUCGGGGAAGAGUCUGAUGAAGAGGAUGGUGCUGAUGAAGGUGACCAGGACAAGGCCCAGCCAGAGAAGGUAUCGUGGUUCUGACUCCGCCCACUUUUUCUCACAUACAUCCUGCUUCGCCCUGCAAGACAGCACCUGCAAAACCAUGGCAACUGCGCUCAGAGCCACACACACAGCAUGUUCUUUAUUUUCACUCAACUUUCUGCACACACAGUGGGACUCAGUCACCUGUUAAAAACAUUACUAAUCCAAGGAAAGCCUCUCUCCUCAAAAGGAAACGAAGGGGACCCUUUUCUGCCUUUUCUGAACAAUUUCAUGCCAGAGAAACCACUCGCAUAUCUAAUAUAAAUAACUCUGCUGCCCCCUACAGGCAGCAUGUGGUAACACAUAGAGUCUGGUUUGGUGGGGAGAGAGAUGGCUGGGGUUACAGCUGUUCUGCCCUAGUUAAAGCCACUGGGGUUCAGUGCAACAGCUGCAGCUUCAAAGCAGUGUCUUACUGCGCACACACCUGCUGAUGUGACAGAUUUAACCUACAUCGGCAGGUUAGCAUGCUGUAGACUGCAGACAAGGCCAGUACACUCUACCCAGAAUGCAGUGCGGCUACUCACCUGGGUGUCAUGCGGGAGGAGUCGUUGGGAGGCCAGUGUGCUCUUCCUCAAGUUGCGCGCCAGGUGUAGGAUGUCCUCCGCCAGGUGCUGCUGCUGCUGCAACAUGGCGUCUAGCUCCGCCCCCGACCGCCAAUCCUCCAGCCGCAACGCCCUGUGGAACGCACCCACAACCGUUACCAUAACGACCAGCUCAAAUCCCAAACGCAAACCAAAAUGGACAGAUCUCUGCCAUCCGCUCACCUUCUCUUUCGCAUGUCUGUUUCCGUGGUACCUGCAAAACAGAAAUGCUAUAUAACACAUACAAUGCACUUUACACCACAGGAUACACUAUAUAACAUAUUCAAAGCACUUUACACCACAGGAUACACUAUAUAACACAUACAAAGCACUUUACACCACAGGAUACACUAUAUAACACAUACAAAGCACUUUACACCACAGGAUACACUAUAUAA